UACGAACCGUCCAAACGUUAUUCGGAUUUAUUGGGCUUAAAGGGUAUGUAGGCGGCCCUUCAAGUCGGGUGUGAAAGCCCUCGGCUCAACCGAGGAACUGCGCCCGAUACUGUGGGGCUCGAGGGAGACAGAGGUAAGCGGAACUGAUGGUGGAGCGGUGGAAUGCGCAGAUAUCAGGAGGAACACCGGUGGCGAAGGCGGGUCUCUGGGCCGAUACUGACGCUGAGGAGCGAAAGCGUGGGGAGCGAACAGG
rnacentral:rRNA from 1 species